UGUUGGACGAAUUUUUUCGAUUCGUUUUCAAGGAUUCAGGCUUCUGGGGUGGGAAGUC
rnacentral:ncRNA from 17 species